rnacentral:rRNA from 1 species
UACAGAGGUCUCAAGCGUUAUCCGGAAUGAUUGGGCGUAAAGCGUCUGUAGGUGGCUUUUUAAGUCCGCCGUCAAAUCCCAGGGCUCAACCCUGGACAGGCGGUGGAAACUACCAAGCUGGAGUACGGUAGGGGCAGAGGGAAUUUCCGGUGGAGCGGUGAAAUGCGUAGAGAUCGGAAGAACACCGGUGGCGAAGGCGGCCUGCUGGGCAGUUGCUGACACUGAGGCGCGACAGCGUGGGGAGCAAACAGG